AAAAUAGAAAAGGGGAAAAUUCCCAAAUCAUCAAAACCUAAUUCCUCUUCUUCUCGAUGGCGUCGUCUCCUCCGUAUCACCUUCGCAUCUCCUUUGUCUCGUCGUGCUCGGAGCCAUCCAACACCGCCUCCUCCGUCGGUCGGAAUCUACAUCCACAUCCUUCUUCUCCGGUUUAUAUCCUUGAUAAGUCAAAAGCUUUGUUUUAUAUGAAAUUUUGUUUUCAUGGAGGAAGAUCUGAACAUGGAGAAUGUCUACUAUUCAGAGAUGAAGGAUGCUGGAUUCUUUGACCCCGAUUGGGAAUAAUAAGAACCUGUAUAUACAAUGUGAAAAGGAUUGUUUACAAAUUGUCAUCUUAGGGCCUACUCUUUCACUUAUGUAUGUAUUAAUACAAGACUCCCUAUACAUGAGUGAUAUAAGUAACUUCUAUCUC